ensembl:lncRNA
UUUUGUCAUGGUCAGCACAUCCCAUGUUGUCUUCAACCUGCUAAAGGGACUUUAGGUAACAAACAAACAAAAGCACUGUCACAGUGAAAAAAAAAAAAUUUUAUUUAAAAAAAAAAAAAAAAAAAAAAUGGCAAGUUCAAAAAUCAAACCAGGAUGAAAGUUUAAAAACUGAAGGGAUUUCUUCUCUAUGAAGGAAAAAAACAAAAAGCCCUGCAUCAUGGCACAAACACUUACGGAGAGGUUGAUGCGCACAAUAAACAGACAAAUUCAUGGACAUGGUUACAAAACUGACCCCAUUUUUGACUUGAUAUAUUAAAUGACCUUCAGAUGAAAUAAUUUAAAAAUUAGCAGCAAUAAGCCACAAUUCAUUUCUUUGUCUUCAAUAUAUUUGGAUUAAAAUCGUGGAAUGGUAAACACACAACAGUGAAUCAGCAUUUAAACAUUUCUUUGCUUCAUAGAUCUAGUAUCUCAAGGAGUUUAAAAAAAGAAAAACUUCAACAGUUUGCAGUGCAUGAAAACAAUUCCAGUCAGAGAUAAAGCCCAACACAGCUGAGUAGCACUUCACACUCCCUUCCAGUGAAAUCUAAGGCAUUUCUGUGAGGUUUAUUUGUCACCUGGAAAUAAAAGGUUUUGUAGUUAAAGAGGAAAACAAGUAACAGCUAAGAAAGAACGAGAUGGGACGAUAUUUAUCCAAACCGUAAAAGUGGAAAAUGAGCGGAAUGAUGAAAACAAUGCUAUGGUGCCUGUGUUUAAACUAAACUAAACAAAAAGUGGCAAUGUGCCUUCAAAACAUGGAGAGAGAAAAAAAAAUCUGCCAUAUUUAUUUAUUUUAGGAGUUCUUACUUUUCCUACAGUCAUAUUAAAACAACCGCGUUUUGGUAUGAAAAAGUUCCCUUUUGAUGUUGCAAUUCUGCUUGCAAUUAAUGAACCAUAGACAAAUGUGUCACAAAAACCAAAACAAAUUAUUUAAAAUGAAAAGAGAAAAGCCACGUCAGCCAGAAUAUAAAGUCACUGUGAGGUGAUCCACUGUCGCAACACGAGGUGUCUCUUGGAUAUUCGUAGUAUUGCAUUUAUAAGGACAAUAAAUUAAUUGCAUAGAUCAACAGACCUUGGGGCAUGUUUUCCAAACAUUGGACGGAAGAGUUAAAGGAUGUGGACACAGUACCAGCUGUGAUCAGCCAUGAGACCUACUGUAGUUGGCUAUUGCCUGUGAACAUUGAACACAAACUGAAUCUACAUUGCUCUGGCAGGAUGAGGUAAGUCAAGGUUUUCAACAUAAAUUGCUCUUACACCGACUGCAUGCGGUGCAACUCUGUAACAAUGCAUCUGAACCUAGCAUACAUGCUUCAUCCAUCAUGAGAAGUUAUGUCUAAAAGUGCCAACACUGGUGACACUGACAGAACUGAAAUAUUAAAGCCUCUUUGACAUCAACACUGAAACCACAACAAAGCAAGUACGCAAAACACAAAGAAAAAAGUGAAAACCUCUAUUUCUCACUAUGAAGCACACAACACACUAUCAAAAAUAAAAA